UACAGAGGGUGCGAGCGUUGUCCGGAAUCACUGGGCGUAAAGGGCGCGUAGGUGGCCUGAUAAGUAGGGGGUGAAAUCUCGAGGCUCAACUUCGAGGCUGCCUUCUAAACUGUCGGGCUUGAGCAGAGUAGAGGCAGGUGGAAUUCCCGGUGUAGCGGUGGAAUGCGUAGAUAUCCGGAGGAACACCGGUGGCGAAGGCGGCUUCCUGGACCGACACUGACGCUGAGGCGCGAAAGCUAGGGGAGCAAACGGG
rnacentral:rRNA from 1 species